rnacentral:misc_RNA from 1 species
GAUGAAGAACGUAGCGAAAUGCGAUACUUGGUGUGAAUUGCAGAAUCCCGUGAACCAUCGAGUCUUUGAACGCAAGUUGCGCCCGAAGCCAUUAGGCCGAGGGCACGCCUGCCUGGGCGUCACACGUCGUUGCCCCCCCAUCUACUCCUUCGGGAUUGCGGGGGGCGGAUGAUGGCCUCCCGUGCGCCUCGCCGCGCGGUUGGCAUAAAUGCCAAGUCCUUGGCGACGCACGCCACGACAAUCGGUGGUUGCGAAACCUCGGUUGCCCGUCGUGUGCGGUCGUCGCGCAUCGAGGGCUCGAAAAAAUUGCCGGGUUCCGGCUCGGCUUUCAACGCGACCCCAGGUCAGGCGGGGUUACCCGCUGAAUUUAAGCAUAUCAAUAAGCGGAGGA